CAGAGUUAUCCAACUCCCAAACCCAUGUGAACUAUCUACUUUGUUGCCUCGGGCGCAGCUACCCGGGACCUCGUGCACCCGGGCGGCCCGCCCGGGACAACCAAACUCUGUUAUCUUCGUUAUUAAUCUGAGUAAGUCUUAAUUUAAUAAUCA
rnacentral:misc_RNA from 1 species